GAGCCUGUGACCACAAAAGGCGAUUAUUUCUGCAAGGUUUGUAACAGCCACAUGAACUCCGAAAAUAUGUGGAUCUCGCAUGUUAAUGGAAAGCGUCAUCUGAAGAAUGUAAACAAAGCACCUGGAGAAGCUCCAAGUAAAGUAAAAUUUGUUAAAUCCAAUGCUCCUGCCCGACUUCUUGAUGUAAUUGCAGAUUGGGAAUCGUAUGAAGAAAAUAGAACUGA